CUAGGGCAAAAUAGCGUAUCUUUUAUGGCGCGUUAUGACAGGGUUGCACAAGGAAAUCGAGCUGCACAUGCAGAUCCCUGGUCACAGCAGAUGCCUGAUAGACGCUGGGUUUGCAAAUUUUAAGAGACUUUACAGACGGUGUGAUGCCGACGCAUUACAUGACUUAUCAUAACAAGUCAAUAAGUCCUCAACCGUAAAUGAAGCUGUGAUGUACCCGGAUUGGAUAUGGUAUGACUGGAAGACAUUCUGUAACCAGUAUUUCAAAGCACUUACCGGAAUUUCAUCAUAUCAACAUUUCAGAGUUGUGUACGAUAGACCAGGGAUGGUGUUUGUGAAGAAAACUCCCGAUGGUGAAGAAAGGUCCUUUUCGAUUACUCGAGACCAGAGUACCGUGUUUGUUGCAAACCACCUGCCAGAAGUGUUAACUGCGGGUGGUCUUUUAAUUGAAAUGCAGAGGUAUUUGUCCAUUAGACCAUACGUACGACAACUAGCGAAAGAUGAGACCUGUCCUCUGCCUAAUAAUGAAGAGUGACAUUACCUUCGUUUAAUAUAUGGAACGAUCAAUAUGUAAACAAAAUAAAGUGAACUAUCUGCGCUUCGGACGACGUUGUUUUGAGAGGAUUACAAUGUUAAAAUGAGAAUAUAGAUAAAGUACCUUUUUUGUAUUUCUACGCAAAGCAAGUAAACGUUAAGAAGUUCAUUUCAUAGAUCUAAUUUGUAAAUCUGCCUUUAUUUGAAAUGGUCUGACGAAGCCUAAUCGGACACAGAUAAAUUCUUGCAAAAGAAAAUACUCAGUCUGAUUAUUUUUCCUGGUGUGAUUGUUUAUUAGGUAUAUAAAUUGUUGCAAAUUUAAUUUUUGUGUUUUCUUUUCUUUUUUUCAGGACAGGUAUCUGUUUUAAAAUACAAUUUUUACAACUUAUGUUAUAAAUAUCUGUUUAAUACCGACACUAGCGUUAUUACCAAUUACCUUAUCACAUUACGUCGUUUUGUUGUAUAGCGACGUCAAGGACGUCAAAAAAAAUUUCUUACCGUGACACCUACACAACAAUGAAUAAUUUUUCAAUAUCUUAGCAGUGCCAUAAAAUAAUAACACUGGUCUCAAACGUUU